UUAAGAGACAGUAUAUUCUUUUUACAUCUUUGCUGUCAAAGAAAUGAAGAAGAAUACUUGACGCUUAAAAGUGUUUAACAAAAGGUAAAAUGCGUAUCAUGAAGAAUUAUACUAAUUUUCUUCAUCAUUCACAUGCCACCCAUAAUCACGCAUGCACUUAAUACAAAUCUAACUACAGGCAUUGAAAGCAUUGAAAGCAUUUGAAGCAUUGAAACCAUUGCAAAAAUCAAAAGCAGCUUAAAAUUGUUUUACCUACGAAUUUCAAAACCCCCUCUAUGUUCUACCUAAUACAGAACUCUCGUGAGUUCUAACUACCAUAUAUUUAAACGUAAUAAAGGGACAGGGAGAAUGAGUAUUUUAUGAAAUUUUAUUUUAUGAUAUCUUCAGUGUUGUGCAUUGUGAAAUUCUUCUUUAUACAUGUAUCUGUCCUAUGUAUCAGAGACGUGAACAGGAUCUUUAUAGAUCCUAACUAUCACUAGUCUUGGUAUCUUUUUAAAUCCUAUUUGUGAGAAAUUUGAAGGCUUCUUUAUUAGCCAUAUCGGUCAGGAUUCAGAAGAUUCUUUUAUAAGUCAUGACCAGAAAAUUUGAAAGGUCUAUCUAUGGGGGUCUGAUAUAAAGAAGAUCUAUUUAUCACAAAGGGAUGGAAUGGAAAAUUGUAUUUCUCAUUGUGUAGGGCAAGCGAGGGACGUAAAUGUCAUUCCGUCGAUUUCACAAUAUCCUGAAACAAACUUAAACCAUACAAAAAUUAGUACAAUUCUAUAAAUAUAUAUAGUUAGAUACCAAUAGAAGGGACUCAAAUAUGACUUCUUCAUACGUGUUACUUCUCCUUAAAUCAUUUUUUUUAAAUCUAUACUAUUCCACUUUCCAGUCGUUCGUUCAUAGGCAUUUGAGAGGUCGUUAAAAUUCCAUAUGCAUAAUUUAUACUUCCUACAAGUUAAUCAAUCUGGAACAUACUCAUUUAUUGGAUUAGUACAUU